ACCCCGGGAAAUGUUUCUCUCAGGGUCGGGUCUUGGGGUCUGGAGCGUUUGGGAAGGUGGUUGAAGGAACAGCCUAUGGAUUAAGCCGGUCCCAACCUGUCAUGAAAGUUGCAGUGAAGAUGCUAAAACCCACGGCCAGAUCCAGUGAAAAACAAGCUCUCAUGUCUGAACUGAAGAUAAUGACUCACCUGGGGCCACAUUUGAACAUUGUAAACUUGCUGGGAGCCUGCACCAAGUCAGGUGGGCUCACUGACCUGGAGUGAGGAUUUUCACUGGACACAUGUGGUUGUGAAAACUGUUCAAUCAGGCUUAAAUCCUCCACUCUCCAUCCCCACACAUGGCAGGGAAUAGAAGUCCCUUGAAUGGAGCUGACUGGUCCCUUGAAUUGAUGGAAGCUCAUUGGUUUUUGAGCAAAAUCUGUUGCCAGUCCAGUCAUAGCCAUUCAUGGCUCUUUAUUAAAAAAAAAAAAAAAAAAAAAAA
rnacentral:lncRNA from 10 species